UACGGGGGGGGCAAGCGUUGUUCGGAAUUACUGGGCGUAAAGGGCUGGUAGGCGGCCAACUAAGUCCGACGUGAAAUCCCAAGGCUUAACCUUGGAACUGCGUCGGAUACUGGAUGGCUUGAAUUCGGGAGAGGGAUGCGGAAUUCCAGGUGUAGCGGUGAAAUGCGCAGAUAUCAGGAGGAACACCAGCGGCGAAGGCGGCGCUCUGGGCCGGUACUGACACUGAGGAGCGAAAGCGUGGGUAGCAAACAGG
rnacentral:rRNA from 1 species